UGCCCAGCAACUCCUAUUCCUAACUCCUCGUGGUGCUGGCCGGGUUACGAGCAACUUUGGGGAAGAUCGGGUAACCAACAUCUAUGGGAACAUUGGUAUAUACUGACAGGGAAGC
rnacentral:ribozyme from 1 species